rnacentral:lncRNA from 1 species
CUCUACUUAACAUUAGGUACGAGAAAUAUUCCGAAUCCAAGUUAGAAACUCUUCCUUUAAAAUAUCUUCGCCCACCCCCAAAUGAUAACAAACUCAAGAAGAUCGACUAGCCUUGGUGAGAGAUUGGAUAAAAAGCUGGUUUCAUUGAGAGGUAGGCUUAUAUCAUUUAGCGGCAAAUUCACUCAAUCUAGUGCUCCCAAUGAAACUGUCUAAUUUUAUGCCUAUGUUCAAGUUGUCCAUUCGAGUGAUCAAAAAAAUUGGUAGCAUUUAUGAAUCCUUUCUUUGGAAGGGU